rnacentral:rRNA from 1 species
UCUUGGCUUAGGAUGAACGCUAGCUACAGGCUUAACACAUGCAAGUCGAGGGGCAGCAUUGGAGUAGCAAUACUCAGAUGGCGACCGGCGCGCGGGUGAGUAACACGUAUCCAACCUGCCGCUUACUCGGGGAUAGCCUUUCGAAAGAAAGAUUAGUACCCGAUGGUAUAAAGAGUUCGCAUGUUCUCUUUAUUAAAGAAUUUCGGGUAAGCGAUGGGGAUGCGUUCCAUUAGAUAGUUGGCGGGGUAACGGCCCACCAAGUCUACGAUGGAUAGGGGUUCUGAGAGGAAGGUCCCCCACAUUGGAACUGAGACACGGUCCAAACUCCUACGGGAGGCAGCAGUGAGGAAUAUUGGUCAAUGGACGAGAGUCUGAACCAGCCAAAAGUAGCGUGAAGGAUGACUGCCCUAUGGGUUGUAAACUUCUUUUAUAAGGGAAUAAAGUGAGGGACGUGUCCCUUUUUGUAUGUACCUUAUGAAUAAGGAUCGGCUAACUCCGUGCCAGCCGCCGC